UCCUAAAGGAACGUUUAAGACUAAGACGUUGAUAGGUUGGGUGUGUAAGCGUAGCGAUACGUUGAGCUAACCAAUACUAAUGAACCGUGAGGCUUAACCUG
rnacentral:rRNA from 1 species